GAUGAACGCUGGCGGCGUGCCUAAUACAUGCAAGUCGAGCGAAUGGAUUAAGAGCUUGCUCUUAUGAAGUUAACGGCGGACGGGUGAGUAACACGUGGGUAACCUGCCCAUAAGACUGGGAUAACUCCGGGAACCCGGGGCUAAUACCGGAUAACAUUUUGAACCGCAUGGGUCGAAAUUGAAAGGCGGCUCCCGCUGUCACUUAUGGAUAGCCCCGCGUCGCAUUAGCUAGUUGGUGAGGUAACGGCUCACCAAGGCAACGAUGCGUAGCCGACCUGAGAGGGUGAUGGGCCACACUGGGACUGAGACCCGGCCCAGGCUCCUACGGGAGGCAGCAGUAGGGAAUCUUCCGCAAUGGACUAAAGUCUGACGGAGCAACGCCGCGUGAGUGAUGAAGGCUUUCGGGUCGUAAAACUCUGUUGUUAGGGAAGAACAAGUGCUAGUUGAUUAAGCUGGCACCUUGACGGUACCUAACCAGAAAGCCACGGCUAACUACGUGCCAGCCGCCGCAGUAA
rnacentral:rRNA from 1 species